rnacentral:rRNA from 1 species
UACGGAGGGUGCGAGCGUUGUCCGGAAUCAUUGGGCGUAAAGAGCGCGUAGGCGGCCCGACAAGUCCGCUGUGAAAGUCAAGGGCUCAACCCUUGAAUGCCGGUGGAUACUGUCGGCUAGAGUGCGGAAGAGGCGAGUGGAAUUCCUGGUGUAGCGGUGAAAUGCGCAGAUAUCAGGAGGAACACCAAUGGCGAAGGCAGCUCGCUGGGACGGUACUGACGCUGGAGGCGCGAAAGCGUGGGGAGCGAACAGGAUAGAUACCCGAGUA